AGGAAAAAAAAAUCUGUGUAUACGAUUACGAUUUACGAGUACUUUACGUGGCAUGGACCUCAGCUCCUACGUCACUCUGGCAGCCCAUGAUGCGAUCUCUUUCACCUCAGCUGCUACGUCACUCCCGAAUGUCCCAAAUUAACAUCCAAGUAAGCUAAACCGGCCAGCAGCUCCCCGCAAAUUAACAAGGCAAAUCAAAUGACUAAACACUUUCAAGUUUCAACGAAGAAUAUAUUUUUUGUUGUUGUUGUGAAACUCCAAGAGAAGCUUCAUAUAAGUAAGGAUCAGCCGUGUCUAAACCUGCUGUUGGUUGUGAGUAAAGAUGGGUGAAAGGGUGAAGCUCAUCGGUGCUUUCGCCAGUGCAUACGGCCACCGCGCAGAGGUGGCGCUUCGCCUGAAAGGCGUGCGAUACGAGCUCAUCCUGGAAGACCUCCGCAACAAGAGCGACCUGCUGCUCAACCACAACCCCGUCCACAAGCUCGUCCCCGUCCUCCUCCAUGGCGACCGCUCCUUGAGCGAGUCCCUCGUCAUCCUCGAGUACAUCGACGAGAGCUUCCAUGGUCCACCCAUCCUCCCAACCGAUCCGUACGAUCGAGCCGUGGCGCGUUUCUGGGCGCAGUUCAUCGAUCAGAAGGUAAAAAUUCAGCUUAAUUUACAUGUCAAGAAGAUGAUGAUCUCCAUCGAUCCUGUGAAAUCUUUUCUGCACAAAUAUUUGCUGAAUAUUUUGUUUUUGGGUGCAGUUUGGUAGGUUCAAUUUCUGGAUCCCGUUCGUGCAAAUGGAGGGCAACAUGCAGGAUUGUUUCGUGAGGGAAGCAAAGGAGAAUCUGGCGCUUCUUGAAGGGCAGCUCAAGGGGAGGAGAUUCUUCGGAGGCGACGCCAUCGGGUUCUUGGACAUAGCAGCGUGCUUGAUAGCUCACUGGCUUGGUGCGUUCGAGGAGGUAUGUGGGGUGACCUUGGCCACGGAUGAGGAGUUCCCUGCUUUGUGCGAGUGGAGGAGACGCUACGUCAACGAUGAGGCCGUGAAGCCGUGCCUGCCGAAUAGGGACGAACUCGUUGCGUAUUACCGUGAACGCAAGGAGAUGAUCAAAGCCGCCGGAAGGCAGCACAAAUGAUUCCAACGUAGUUGUAUGCAUGAGAAAUAAAUAUAUGUCCAUGGGAAUGGAAUAAGUUACUAUUUGAUUCAACGUGUUAUUUUUCUUAAUUUCAACUUCCAUGUUGGAGAUAAAAAGUUUAUGGAACAUACCAAUGUUGUUUGUUUUACAGUUCAUCUUCAUCGUGGUAGAAAUCAAUAUGGGUGCCGGUAGAUUUUAAAUUUUGUUGUGAGUUGUGACAUAUACGGAUCGCUAAACUCUUGACGGUGACGCCAAAGUUGGAUAAAAGUUGAAGGAAAGGAAACUGUCAGGGAAAUUAAGCUUCGGAUAGUCCCUCCAUAUCUCCAUCACAAAAUAAAUCAAUUUAGAUAGAAAAAUAACAUAAUCUAGUAGAACGAAUAUGAACAGAUUAGUCACAUCCCCGCCUAGACCGUUUAGACCUAGGCAUGUGCUUCAGUUCAUUCCCUUUUCUUUUUUUUUAAGAAAAACAUUUCAUUUCCUGCAUCGUAUCUCUUACCAUUUGAUCCUAUUACUGCUCAAACAUGACUUGUCCAUAUACUCCAGUCAGGAGAUUAGGUUUGUUCGGUUUUUUUAAUUCUUUCUUUGUGCAGUUCUGUUUUGAUACUACUCCCUCCGUUUCAAAAUAAGUGUAGUUUUUUACUGUUCAUCUCCAACGUUUGACUGUUCGUUUUAUUUAAUUUUUUUAUGAUUAAUAUUUUGUUGUCAUUAGAUGAUAAAAUAUGAAUAGUACUCUAUGUGUACUAACAUUUUUUUUACUUUUUCAUAAAUUUAUCAAAUGAGAGGAACGGUAAAACGUUGGACACUGAUAUCCAUAGUUGCGCUUAUUUUGGGACAUAGGUAACUUUGCAACACUGAAACCUACUACUACUGCUGAAGUAUUCAUGAAUAAAGCAUACCUUUGAAAAAGAAAAAAAAAUGUCAUGCUACCAACUCCAUUAGAGUAGUUUCUUACAUGCUUCUGAAAGGAAAAUCCAAACCAAGGCUCUGUUUAGAUUUUAACUUUUUUCUUUAAACUUUCAACUUUUCCGUCACAUCGAACUUUUCUACACACAUAAAUUUUUAAUUUUUCCAUCACAUCGUUUCAAUUUUUUCAAACUUCCAAUUUUGACGUGAAACUAAACACAGCCCAAAAGAAUUACCGACAGUCAAACAAAGUCACUAUCAUGGAACUGACCUCACAUGAACAUUAUCUUCUGGUAAAUCAAUUAUCGCUGACUUUUAGCUGCACCAGCAUUCAUCUUACUGAGCACGGAAGUUGAAUCUAGUGGAGUACUACUGUAUUACCCCAAGCUUGAGUAAACAAAACAUAGAGAAUUGACUGGAAGGAAAGAAACGAAAAAAAAAAAAGAGAAUGGAGCUUCCUCCUUGGAGAAGAAGCAACACACAUUUCAAAUUUAAAAUCCGAGUCAAGAAGCUUCCUUGUUACCCCUAUAAAUACGGAAAUACCAACAGUUCAGUCAAUAUAUGAGCAGAAAGCCAAGAACACACUUGGAAGCAAACAACCAAAUAUGGCUGAUCCAGUUAAGCUCAUCGGCGCAUUUGGCAGCCCGUUCGUGCACCGAGCCGAGGUUGCCCUGCGGCUCAAGGGAGUGGCUUACGAGUUCAUCCACGAGGACCUUGACAACAAGAGCGACCUGCUUCUCGCCAAAAACCCCAUCCACAAGAAGGUCCCCGUGCUCCUCCAUGGCGACCGUGCCAUCUGCGAGUCGCUCGUCAUCGUCGAGUACGCGGACGAGGUGUUCGACGGCCGUCCCAUCCUACCCACCGACCCCUACGACCGCGCCAUGGCCCGUUUCUGGGCUCACUUCAUCGAACACAAGGCAAUAUAUAUAAUCGUUGUCGAUAACCUCUGAAAUUUCACAAGGUUUUUCCGCUUACUGAGGGGCUGUUUAGUUCCUCAAAAACUUUUCCCAAAAACAUCAUAUUGAAUAUUUGAACACAUGUAUAGAGCAUUAAUUAAAUAUAUAUAAAAAAAAUUAAUUGCACAGUUUGCAUGUAAAUCGCGAGACGAGUCUUUUAAGCCUAAUUAGUACAUGAUUAGCCAUAAGUGUUAUAGUAAACUACAUGUGCUAAUGACAGAUUAAUUAGGCUCAAAAGAUUCGUCUCACGGUUUUCAGGCAAGUUAUGAAAUUAGUUUUUUCAUUCGUGUCCAAAAACUCCUUCCGACAUCCGGUCAAACGUCCGAUUUGACACCCAAAAAUUUUCAUUUCACAAACUAAACAAACCCUGAACAGUACAAAUUCAUGAACAUGUACAGUGCUCGAGGUCAUCGUGGCUGGCAUUGUGGUUGGACGGCGAGGAGCAGGAGGGGCUUCUGAAGGAGACGAAGGAGAACCUGGCGCUUCUGGAGGCGCAGCUCCAUGGGAAGAGGUUCUUUGCCGGUGACUCGGUCGGCUACCUCGACAUUGUUGCCAGUGGACUGGCUCACUGGAUCAGCGUGGUUGAGGAGGUGACCGGAGUGAGCUUGAUGGGCGGCGCCGACGAGGAUGACGAGUAUCCUGCUCUACGCCGUUGGGCCAAGGAGUACACCACGGAUGAGACCGUGAUGCAGUGCCUGCCGAGCAGAGAGCACCUCGCUGCCUUCUUCGCUGCGAAGAAGGACAAGCUGAAGAUGGUGGCUAAGGCGAUGCUGCAUCAGUGAUUGUGAGUGUUGUGGGGGCCGACAGUGGGAGUGUAUGUCUCAGGUGAUGGUGCUUCUUAAAUAAAAUCGAAUCAGAACAUAAUUAAACGAUUAUAAAGCCGAAAGUUCUACACGUACAUCAGAUUGUUCGUUUGUCACUCACUCGGCUCAUUUUUAUAUGGCGUGAUCUUGACUUUACACGUUUUGAAUUGAACUUUGACUACUAAUAAGUAUAUACUCCCUCCGGGUUGAUAAUACUUGUCGUUUUGGACAAGGGCACGGUCUCCAAAAAUAAUUUUGACCAUUAUUUUUCAUUAUAAUAUGUAUAAAAUUGUAAACAAAUAUAUGAUCUUAUUAAAGUACUUUUUAAGACUAAUCUAUACAUGUAGUCACUAUAUUUGAAAGAUAAAUAUUUUAAAAAUGAUUCAUAAUAAAAAAAAUCUAAAUUUUGACUUCACCCUUAUUUAGAACGAUAAGUAUUAUCAGCCCGGAGGGAGUACUGAUUAGCAUGCAGGAUAGGAACUGAUCUGUACUUGUCGAAAGGGGAUAGUGCAGAAGUUACCUGGUCAUCUUAUGGCUUGCGGGAGAAGCUUUGUAAUUAGCAAAUGAUUUAUUAAAUAUUAAGUAUUACAAAUUUAAAAAUAGAUUUGUUUGAAUUCUUUUCAAAAACUUCUAUAUAGAAUUUUUUUCUCAAAAAUCACGCCGCUAGUUGAGAUUAAAUCUCAGUAAAAUGUUCAUAGAUAUUUUUUUUCUAUGGACCAUCUAUCUAGGAAUCUUUUCAUUUUCUGGAUUUUAUCAAUUCAUCUGAUUUGCCCUACCUUUGCGCUCCGGCUUGCUCUUCAAGAAAUUUGAUAGGAUUAAUCAAUACAAAGUCUGAAAGCCAUUAUGGUGGCAGUAAUUAAGCUAUCUCUGGGAACUGCACAUGUAUAUAUAUUAUCUUUUGGUAAAUUAAAUCUCGCUGACAAAACCGAUGACCUCUGCUAUUUGGACCGAAGCAAAGAAAACCUGUGAUUCCUCCCAAGCUUAAUUAAACAAAACCGAUGAGCUCCUGCUCUUUGGACCGAAGCAACUGAGAAGCAGAUAGUCAAACUGAUUGAAAAAAGAAAAGGAAAAAUCACAGAUAAGGGAGGUCGUCCUUCUUGGAGAAGAAGUAGCUAACACACCAUUUGAAAAUUACAAAUUUGAGCCAAAAAGCAAACUUGACAUGGCCCUAUAAAUAAAUGUAUGGUUUAGCCAAGAAUACAGGAAUAAUAGCCAAAAACACUCUAAAGCAAACAUGGCCGAUCCGGUUAAGCUCAUCGGCGCUUUUGGCAGCCCAUUCGUGCACCGCGUCGAGGCGGCCCUGCAGCUCAAGGGAGUUGCCUACGAGCUCAUCCACGAGGACUUGGAGAACAAGAGCAACCUGCUGCUCGCUAGCAACCCUGUCCACAAGAAGGUCCCCGUCCUCCUCGAUGGCGGCCGAGCUAUCUGCGAAUCACUUGUCAUCGUCGAGUACGUCGACGACGCAUUCGACGGCCCGCCCAUCCUACCUGCCGACCCCUAUGACCGCGCCACGGCUCGUUUCUGGGCUCAAUUCAUCGAUCACAAGGCAAAUCUCUUCAUGUUGUUGCAUCAUUGCGUUCAUGUAAGCUCUGAACAUUUACAGGUUCUUGCGUUUGCUGAUGAUCAGUGUGCUACUACUGUUCGAUCGAACACCUGCAGUGCACGUUGCCGUUGUUGCUGGCCCUGUGGCUGGACGGUGAGGAGCAGAAGGGGUUUCUGAAGGAGACGAAGGAGAACCUGUCGCUACUGGAGGCACAGCUCGAGGGGAAGAGGUUCUUUGCCGGCGACGCCGUGGGCUACCUCGACGUCGCCGCCGGCGGAAUGGCUCACUGGAUCGGUGUGCUCGAGGAGGUCACCGGAGUGAGCGUGAUCGGCAGUGAGGACGACGACGAGUAUCCUUCGCUGCAGCGGUGGAUCAAGGAGUACGCCAACAUCGACGCCGUGAAGCUGAGUCUGCCGGAUAGAGAAGAACUCGUUGCCUUCUACACGAGAAACAAGGAUAAGUAUAAGAUGAUGUUCAGGGCGAUGGUGCAUCAGUGAUUCAGUGCAAGAAUAGAUCGAUCAAUUAAUCUCCCUGUAAUCCUGUGUGCCACCUGGGAAUAAAUUUGUACUCGUGCCAUUAAUUAGUGUAUUGAUAUUUCAUACGUAUCAUUCAAUAAGUUCUAGGCAAAGAUUAUCGUGUUUCUAGAAAAAAAAAUGGAAUCGUAUCAGGAUAAAACCCGAAGAUUCUGCGCGUAGAUCAGAUCGUUUGUCUAUUACUUACUCACCAGAUCAAUUUUUAUAUGGCGUGAUUCUGACUUUGCACGGUUAUUUAAAUUGAACUUUGACCGUAAGUAGCAGUUCCUGACGGCUUAAUAAUACAUACCGAUAUAACAAAUGCAUUGGGCCAAAUCUUCUGCAGGCCAGCCCACCUCACCUGUUCCACAAUACUAGUACAGCCCAGCAUUCUUAAUCUCUCUAUAUAAUCACAGGGUCACAAGUGCAUUAAGCCACUAACCCGGUGUAAGCAAGCAAAAAAAUGGUUAAGCUAAUCAGCGCCUUCGGGAGCCCAUUCGGGCACCGCGCCGAGGCGGCGCUCCGGCUGAAAGGCGUGCAGUACGAGCUCCUCCUGGAAGACCUCCGCAGCAAGAGCGACCUGCUGCUCGCCCACAACCCCGUCCACAAGCUCGUCCCCGUCCUCCUCCACUCCGACGGCCGCUCCGUCGCCGAGUCCCUCGUCGUCGUCCAGUACG
rnacentral:lncRNA from 1 species